rnacentral:rRNA from 1 species
GAUGAACGCUGGCGGCGUGCCUAAUACAUGCAAGUCGAGCGAACGGACGAGAAGCUUGCUUCUCUGAUGUUAGCGGCGGACGGGUGAGUAACACGUGGAUAACCUACCUAUAAGACUGGGAUAACUUCGGGAAACCGGAGCUAAUACCGGAUGAUAUUUUGAACCGCAUGGUUCAAAAGUGAAAGACGGUCUUGCUGUCACUUAUAGAUGGAUCCGCGCUGCAUUAGCUAGUUGGUAAGGUAACGGCUUACCAAGGCAACGAUGCAUAGCCGACCUGAGAGGGUGAUCGGCCACACUGGAACUGAGACACGGUCCAGACUCCUACGGGAGGCAGCAGUAGGGAAUCUUCCACAAUGGGCGAAAGCCUGACGGAGCAACGCCGCGUGAGUGAUGAAGGUCUUCGGAUCGUAAAACUCUGUUAUUAGGGAAGAACAUAUGUGUAAGUGACUGUGCACAUCUUGACGGUACCUAAUCAGAAAGCCACGGAUAACUACGUG